AACUAGAGGGACCCACAACUAGAAUGAACAACUAUGUACCCCGGGGCUUUGGGGAGAAAAAAGGGGGAAAAAAAUGGUUACCUGUAGAGGACAGGGAGGAAUGGACUGAAUGUGGACAGCAGCAGGAGCAGCACUUCUUACUGUAUACAUGUCGAUGUCUUUUUGGUUUUUGAAAUACAUGAAAUUACCUAGUCAGGAAAAAAAAGGCACAUGUGGAGAACCUUAAACAGGAAAAAAGAUACCUGAGGAAAGAAAAUAGAGAUGUGAGGAAGGAAGUAGAGAUGGGAAGAGUCUUGCAGAUAGCUCUUGUUUCCUCUGAGAGUAGAGUGAGAUAAUCUGCUGAUCCCAUACAUUGCCAUAGUAGUGACAUGGACUUAGUAUCUUUGUUUUUUCUUCGCAGGUUAGCCUGUUAAAUUAAAGAUAUAUUGUUACUGGUACAAGAUAUUGGGGAGUGGGUCUGAAAUAGCUUUUCCAUUAGGAAUCUGGAUCUUCAGGAUUUUCUGUCUGAAAUGCAUUAUUAUACUGCAAGUUGGAACUUGAUCUACAAGAUGUCAGUCAAGAUGAAAGUUCUUUUUUUGUAUAUUCUGUCCUCCAUGAACAUUUUUCAUUCAUUCAACCGAAAUUCACUGAGAAACAACUCUUAUAAGCUGCAUUUUACUAAAUACUUCUAAAAUAUUGGAAAAAAUGAUUAAACUGAAAAUAGUCUAUGA